UACGAAGGGGGCUAGCGUUGCUCGGAAUCACUGGGCGUAAAGGGUGCGUAGGCGGGUCUUUAAGUCAGGGGUGAAAUCCUGGAGCUCAACUCCAGAACUGCCUUUGAUACUGAAGAUCUUGAGUUCGGAAGAGGGUCGUGGAAUUCCCAGUGUAGAGGUGAAAUUCGUAGAUAUUGGGAAGAACACCGGUGGCGAAGGCGGGUCUCUGGGCAGUAACUGACGCUGAGGAGCGAAAGCGUGGGGAGCGAACAGG
rnacentral:rRNA from 1 species